rnacentral:rRNA from 1 species
ACGUCGNCCCAAGAAUGNUGAUCGCGCCACGAUANAGCGGCAGACGGGUGAGUAAUGCCUAGGAAUCUGCCUGGUAAUGGGGNACAACGUUUCUAAAGGAACGCUAAUACCGUAUACGUCCUACGGNAGAAAGUGGGGGAUCUUCGGACCUCACGCUAUCAGAUGAGCCUAGGUCGGAUUACCUAGCUGGUGAGGUAAAGGCUCACCAAGGCGACUAUCCGUAACUGGUCUGAGAGGAUGAUCAGUCACACUGGAACUGAAACACGGUCCAGACUCCUACGGGAGGCACCAAUGGGGAAUAUUGGACAAUGGGCUAAAGCCUGAUCCAGCCAUGCCGCGUGUGUGAAGAACGUCUUCGGAUUGUAAAGCACUUUAAGUUGGGAGGAAGGGCAGUAAGUUAAUACCUUGCUGUUUUGACGUUACCAACAGAAUAAGC